ACCAUUCAGUUGUGUUAUAUAAGAAAUAAUCUUUUUUUAUUUUAUUUUUCAACUAUAAAUCAAAUUUCCUAGUGCAGUAAAACGGACUAACCUCCAGCUGAGUGAGAAUCAUGGCCUCAGAUUUGUAGCUGCUAAUGCGGAUAAUUCACAUUGAUACAGACUUCAGUUAAAAGGUUAAGAUAUGUUUGAAUAUAGGGACACAUUUUUAAAGUCCUCUGGUGUUGGCUUCAUCCAAGUUCUGCCACUGCAAACCUCCUUGAAAGCAGUGUUUGGAUGCGCCGCAGUUAGUCCCAGAUGAGAGGAAAAUUGCCCGAAUCGUGGCUUCAAAUUGCUUCAGGAGCGAAGAAAACAUGUUUCCAUCAGAGAAAUGCCGAGGCAGGGUCUCCACCUGUCUCCUCAAUCACUGACCUUUUCAGAGUUUUACAGUUGUUGACCCAUUUUCACCAGAUUGCCACGUGAGCGGAGCACAAGGCCUGUUUUCCUCCAGACUGGGUUCCAUUCAGCACAAAGCUUUAAUCACACUGAAGGUAGAAAACAUUAAGUACAGACAGGAAGUGAGUUCAUCUCGACUUACACUUCAGUACAGUAGUUGCCGAUCUAUAACAACAAUUUGUUUGUCGUCUACAAAGCUAGAAAAUAAAGCAUCAAUGUCAAAUCUAUGUACAGUUCAAAUGGAUACAAAUAUUACAUGAUGUGUUUUGUUCAGCGUCUCAGCUGAGCAGCACUACAAGUGACUCAAAGUUCCAGUGGACGACUCAGUGGCUCAGUCGAUGCCAAACCGCCACCACCUUCUCAGGGUGAGCCAUCAUGUCCGUCCACUGCGCCACCGCUUCUGGAGCCGAACUGUCGAAUCCCAGCUGGAUCUGACUUAAAGAAGAACCAGAUCCAAAAUACAGCCAUCGAGGGAGGACGUUUUUUUUAAAAAGACUGAGUCCAUAGACACAGGAGCAGUUGAUCCCAAGACCAGGACCUUUAAAACUGAAGACAGAGAGUGGACUUCACCACUCCCUGACAGCAUCAGACCAAGCCUCCAUCGAGAGUCCGGCGUGGGAAAGGCCCGGCGCUCUGUUGACCGACCCAGCAGCAGAUUCAUAUAAAAGACACUGUUUCCUCCUCAGGGAGCUGCGACUGUAGAGCUUGACAGACAGAGAACACGCCUGAUCGAAGGACACCAGCUGGAAGUGGAAGGUCUCCGUCCACGUACACUGACCCGCCGAGGCCUUCAGGACACGCGUCUUCUUCUUAGUCACUGGUCCCAGCUGGUGCAUCUCUGCCUUGACGAAGAACCCUACAGGAGAGUAAGGUGGAAGAAGCUAUGGAUCAGAACCAUAACAUCAGACAGACUGAGUGGGCUGCCAUCUUUCUAGUCUGGAAUUUGUUUUCACCUUGAGAGAGUGGCGAUGCAGACGGCGGGAGGUUUUGGGCUGCGAGGACUUGAAGUUGGAUGCGGCCGUUGACCGGCUGGAAGCAGGUGGUGAGGUGAAGCUCAGAGUGACUCACCUGGAAGAUGUUCGAAGCAUAAGUUUAACACACUGGUAAGAUAUAGGAGGGUUUGUGCGCCCCUGAUGUAGUAGAUAUGCCCGGCCUAUGGGCGACGUUCUAGCAACCAACCAAGACACCUCAGGCAACAAUAGCAUUAGAACCUGAACAUGGAAAUAGAGAGGUCAGGGUGGACGUAGUGGGGCUCUUGUCGUGAGUCACUUGAUUCCAAAACAGAAAGGACCCGCAACUCUGCUUAAAACUAGGGGUCAAAGUCCCAGUCCUCGACAGUUCGGGCGGGAACCCUGUCACAGCUGCAGCUCAAAAGCUCACAGUUGAAAGCCUGAAGAAUACGUGUCAAACUCAAGGCCUGAGGGCCAGAUCCGGCCUGCCAAGUCAUUUCAUGUGGCCCCUGAGAUGGAUGGAGCACACUGCGGAUUCAUGUUUAUAACUCAGGAUCCCAGCGUUUCAGGUAAAUGUUUGUGCUUCAAGGAGAGCCUGUGUUGUGUUUGGUGAAGGAGGACAAACACAGAUAUGGUUAAGAUUUAACCACCAAGAAUGAAGAGAGAGAAACAUUGCCUUGAUCUUUCCUGUAAAAGGAACGCCUGUGAUGACAGUCCGGGACAUAAAUCUUUUGGUUGUCCCAAGACUUGUUUGCUUGACUUUGA